UCCCGAAUAGAUUGUGCUAGGCCCAGGAAGAAUAACUUCAACAGUACCUGGAACAGUACCACUAGCUGUUGCAAGAGUCGAAGUAAUGGUCUGAGAUCCCUCAUAUACUGUAUUAGUAACAGUGCCACCAGUUGGCUGAACUACCUCAACAGUUCCCGAUACACUACCGGAGGCGGGCACAGUGGUUGUAAAGGCUUGAGACCCAGACUGCAAUGUCGUCGUCACAGUUCCAACCGCAGGCUCAACGACCUCAACGGUUCCGGAGACAGAACCAGAGGCAGGUACCAAAGUAGUUGUAUACUCUACACUACCUGAGUAAGUAGUGGUCGUAACGGUUCCAACAGCAGGUUCAAUCACUUCAACAGUACCUGGAACAGUUCCACUGGCUUCAGCAAGGAUAGUGGUAUACUCUUGGUCGCCAGAGUAAAUAGUGGUAGUUACUGUGCCAGCUGUAGGUUCAAUUACUUCAACGGUACCUGAAAUUGAACCAGAGGCAGAUGCCAAAGUAGUUGUAAACUCUUCACUGCCUGAGUAUAUGGUAGUAGUAACAGUUCCAACAGCGGGUUCAACAACCUCAACGGUACCAGGAACAGUUCCACUUGCGGUAGCAAGAGUGGUGUUGUAUUCUACACUACCGGAAUGAAUAGUAGUAGUAACAGUUCCAGCUAGAGGCUCAACUACCUCAACCGUUCCAGGGACAGUACCACUGGCUUCAGCAAGAGUGGUAGUGAACUCGUGACUACCUGAAGUGAUCGUGGUAGUCACCGUUCCUGCAGUGGGCUCUAUGUCUUUGACCACAACGUCGCCAUCUGCCAGUGUGACAGUAUAUGUGGAAGCUACAGUACCGCUGUUGAUUGUGGUGUAUAUUGUGCUGUGAUUUGUGGUACCGCGGCCAGAAGACUUUGACGAUGGAUAAAUAGUAGUGAUGUAUUCAGAAGGUCCUUCUGAGAAAAUUGUAAUAAAUUCGGGACAUGUGGAAGAAGAGGAGGAAGUUGCAGAUAAAACUCGUUUAGCAAAUUUAGCAGAAACAGGAGGCUCACUAACAACCACCGUGAAAAUGCUUGUAAAAAAAGUGAAAAUAAAGAAACGAAGAAAAAGCAUGAUGAACUUCCAAUGAUUAAAUAAAUUAGAUGUGCU